rnacentral:lncRNA from 1 species
GCGGGUUCUACUUAUUGGUUCUCAACGACGGCCGGGGGUCAGAGGAGGAUCGCCAUGUCGUCCACGACGGCAGACCUUCCUUUCACAAGAUUCCUGCAAACGACAUGGUGUAGGAAGAACCAUUGCAGAUACUUUUUUCUGUUAUAAUUGGAUUUAUUUUUUUUGAACUCUAUAAUUGGAUUUAUUUAUUACUCUUUCGACAGUAACUAAACAUUCAUAGCCAACUUAAAUUCUCUGUAAUGUUGAUUUUGUAAAGAUCUUUUUGGUAUAACAACUGAUCACAGGGCUUUAUUUUCCCUAUUGAACCAUAAUGGAAAGGUUAAUUUGCAGUUUAGUACCAAGUUCUCAUAAAUUCCACCUAAUAAGGUGGGCUAAACAGAAUACUAACCACAUUUCUGCCUACGAAUAAGAAACAUGGUGAUGUCUUUGUUGUACUGCGACACCAUUUUUCGCAGGUUUACACACUGACCGACAAACAUUGUUAUCUCAAACGUCAAUUACUCCUACUAUGUAUUUACAUUAUGGAUAUGUUAAUAUCGAGUGAGAAUGGUUCAAUAGUGAUAAUUCGUAGCGUAGGUAAGAUGAAAUAAGAAAAGAAAGGAAAAGCAAAAGGGCCUAAUGAUACUAUAUCCAUUCUGUUGCCUGCCCUUUUAGACUUACAGAAACCAACAUGACUGAUCACUAGGCCACCAUAUGUUACGGCCAUAUUGGAGCAUGUAUUAUGGGGAAACCAAGAAAUGCGCUGAAAAAACACAAGGCGAAAAGGGAACCUAAUGGCAGGGAAAAUUCAAGGAAGUAGCAGGCCAAUUUGUGACGAUUUGCAAUCUAAUCAACCCUGAACCUAAACGAAAAGAUGACGGUGAAGUUACCAUCGAACUCAAUUUGUUGUCGAGCCAUGGGCUGAUUGCCCUGCUCAGUUGUCACACAUUGGGAACACACCAACUCAAUAAAAUCACAGCAUUCAACAAAUAAUGCAGAUCAGCAUUACUAAGAUCAGGCAUAGACUACUGGUAGGCUGGCAUAAAUUGCUACCUCUAGUCUUAGGUACUUAAGUUCAUUCUUGCAGAAAAAUCAUUAUAAGGAUUAGAGUGGGCUGAUACGAGAAGGCAUGAUGGAUUCGUGGCAACAAUUUAUCCAAACAAUACCGGAAAUGGUAAUCUUUCUCUGCUUGUUCAUCAGAAGAGCCCAUUGCAUCAGCAUUUUCUCAAUUUAUUGAUCCACCAACAAACACAAUGAGAUAAUCCAAGUUGGCAUGGCGCCAAGAUUUAUAACUUUGCAGCACAAAUCAGUAAGGGGGCCAAUUUUGCCAGGUUACAAGGCUAACAUGAAAAAAUUAGCUCCGAAUCUCAUGUUGGAUGAACAAAUUUGAAUUAGAUUUUGAGCUAAAUUUUAUUCACCAAUAAAACGACUUAAAAUUCUCCAAAGAACAGUAUAGUAUGGCCAAAGCUAACCUCGCUCAGAAGUCAGGAACUCCCCCCCAAAAUCGAAAGACUUCCGCGUGGAUUCGGUCUUCGAGGAGCGUCCCCCACCCCCCUUACUCGUCGAGCUGGUUGAGCUCGGCCUUGAGCUGCUCCAUCUUGAGCCCCAUGGAGCGGCGGAGCGAGUCGGCGUCCGCCGGCGGGAN